rnacentral:rRNA from 1 species
UACGGAGGGUGCGAGCGUUGUCCGGAAUCACUGGGCGUAAAGGGCGCGUAGGCGGCGCGGGUAGUCGUCGGUGAAAGCUCAGGGCUCAACCCUGAGUCGGCCGGUGAUACUCCCGUGCUCGAGCACUGUAGAGGCAGGUGGAAUUCCGGGUGUAGCGGUGGAAUGCGUAGAGAUCCGGAAGAACACCGGUGGCGAAGGCGGUCUGCUGGGGUGAGGCUGACACUGAUGCGCGACAGCGUGGGGAGCAAACAGG